AGGAUGUAAGUAGCUUUGUGGAUGCACGCCAGGAACUCAGCCUUCAAAAUGAGGCCUAGCAGGUGGCAACACUGCCUACCCCCUAAGCUACAGAGAGGCUGGAACUAUAUGAUCUUCUAAGAUCAUUUCCACCCAACUCAAGACAUUCUAUGAGUCUAUGAUAUUUUUUCUCACCAACAACAGUUCAACAGAUCACCUGUGAUAUUUCACUAUCACAAAUAACUGAAUUUAACUGGUGCUUGCUAAUUUUAAGUAUGUGUGCAAUGUCAUGUGGUGGGCAUCCUUGCUUGAGACUAGGCAUGUGCCAUGGUCUUCAAGACUCAAAAGCAGAUCUUAAGUCCUAAAAAUCAUGCAGAAUAGAAAGUGUGGAACGAGGCACUUCCAGUGUCUCAGUUAUUGAAGCAGUGUCCAAACCCUCCAUCUGGUUUAGGUUAUCUGAAAAUAGUUCAGCACACAAUAUUAUUGAGACAGAUAGUUAUGUAUGUUAAUAAGGAAUUUAAGCAAUAUGAUUUAUAAGAUGCAAAUAUGCACUCCUCUGGUUUCCCAGCUAAAUCCUAGGAAUGCAUUGCUUGGAAUUUCACAGAGCAGUCACAGAACCCCAGCAUUUGCAUUUUAUUCAUUCUUGGGAAAACACAGUACUGAAGUCGUUGUAACUCCCUCUUCAGAGAAGACUUUACUACAUAGGUUUGCUCCGACAGUUCAUAGAUCUGCCAAGCUGAAAGGACACCAUCUCCGAUGGAAGCCUGUAGCCCAUUUCUUCUGCCCCAGUACACAGAUGGAGAUUUGUCCAUUUCCUCUAGAGUAAAUCAAUAUGGCUGUGCUACCAUUGAUGAAGAAGCAUUCUGGCAAGCCUGUGUUCAAAUUUGCCUCAAGUCACGACUGAAAUGAAUUCUCCAAGUUCCAGAGAAGUGUGCAGCACAGACCUAUCACCAAACCCAGAGCCAAAAUUUCCCCAUGCAAUGGGAUGCUGAUGGAGCAAGGUGCCGUAGCAGAGGGGUAAUGUGGCACUGCCUGGCUCUGGUUUAAGCCACUAGUUGCAUGCCUUCAGGAGAACAAGCCUCACCAAAAGCGCAUGAACAGAAACAUGCAUCAUGGUAAUUGGUGGAGGUGAGACCCAGAUGUUUUAAUGAAGUGAUCUCCAUUACUGGCUGCUAAUUUGGACAUUUUCUGAGCGUCCGCUAUUCUUAUCAAUAGGGUAGGGCUUUCUGGUUCAUUUUUUCUGUGUUCUCUUGGAGCACGUUUAGCUGAUAGCAUCAGUGUCUGUUUGGUAGCAGUAAGAGCCCUGCCCAUGCAGGUACUGUGGAAACUAGAGACAGGAUUUUGCCAGUUGGGACAGGAAUGUUUAUUUGAAUGUAAGGAGAGAACCAGAUCUAUGGCUGCUGUAUCUGCCACAAGUCUCAGAAGGCAUAAACUGACAGACUUGGAAAUAGUACUGUGCCCACUGAAGCAGUGAAAAAAAGCAACAAUAAAAACCCUUUUGAGAGCA
rnacentral:lncRNA from 1 species